UACGUAGGGUGCGAGCGUUAUUCGGAAUUACUGGGCGUAAAGUGUGCGCAGGCGGCAGAGCAAGUCGAGUGUGAAAGCCCCGGGCUUAACUUGGGAAUUGCGCUCGAAACUACUUUGCUGGAGUGUGGCAGAGGAAGGUGGAAUUCCACGUGUAGCGGUGAAAUGCGUAGAGAUGUGGAGGAACACCAAUGGCGAAGGCAGCCUUCUGGGCCAACACUGACGCUCAUGCACGAAAGCGUGGGGAGCAAACAGG
rnacentral:rRNA from 1 species